rnacentral:misc_RNA from 1 species
GUAGGUGAACCUGCGGAAGGAUCAUUAACACUCCAAAACUUCUCAUAGCUCUGGGAAACCAGAGUUUAUGAAACCCUAUUCACCAAUACGAACCCGGCAGGUGUGUCUGGCUUUCUGAGUCAGGCCCAUCUUGCUACUCUUUUGUCCAUUUCUUUUUUGACCCAAUAUAACAUUUCUUAUUGUCUGACUGGAAAGGCUUUACUGUCCUUCCGUUGCUCUUGCAGCUAAACCCUGUAAGGCAAUGAAAACU